ensembl:rRNA 5S_rRNA 5S ribosomal RNA
GUCUUCAGCCAUGCCACUCUGAACGUACCUGAUCCCAUCUGAUCUUAUGGAAGCUAAGCAGGGUCGGGCCUGGUUAGUACUUAGGUGGGAGACCACAUAGGAAGACCAGGUGCUAUGGGCA